UGGCCGGUGCGAGCUGCUCGGUGGCGGCACACCAUUAGCACACGGGCCUCGCCCAAUCCCCAAUCCCCAACUCGGAUGGAAAACCCUAGCCGCCGCCUGCCCAAUCCCCUCGCGUUCUCCUCCUCCACAACCUCGAUUCCACCUUCUCCUUUAGCCUCGGGCGGCGCCGCUCCGUCUCCUGGUUCCCCGCGGCCGAUCUCGCGCGCCCCUCCAUCCCGUGGUUCCCUCUCUUUCCGCCUCUCAGCAGGAGGUUCAUGGGCUGCCGCUUGAGCUACUCCUCAGGCCGUUGGUGGUUAGCGCUAAGAAGAAUUGUCAGCAGCAAAGAUGGAGUAGACGUGAAGAGGCGAUUGAUGAUAGAGUAGGCAGAAAGAUUCUGGCAGAUCGGGGCUUCUCCUGCCAGCCUCCAGCCUCUCUUCGGCUCGCACGGCGGCCGGCGCCGGCGGCCGAAGUGGCUCUGCCCCUCCUCCCCGACUCAUCUUUCUCAUGCAUAGAGGCUGGAGGAGGGCUUCAACGGUGCAGGUCCGAGCUCUUCCUCUCUCUCUCUCUCACACACACACACACACACACACACCCUCACCCUUGAUAUUUAUUUGGGUGCAAGGCCAAACGGAGAUGCAGCAUUCGGUCAGGCCAAUAACUGAUGGAAUAGGACAAGUGAACUUGUUCCCUUGCAAGGACCUCAUACUGAAAAAAUACACAACUCAGCAUAUUAGUGCUGAUCUGUAGUAUCCAUUUUUCCAAUAUCUUCUAUUUUUUGAAAAUUAGCUGGAGUAAUAUUCCCCUUUUUGUUAUGGAGGUACAUGGGCAAAGCUUGCUUCGCUCCUGCUCUGCCUCUGCGUCGUACUCGACAUUCAAUAGGAGGAUCAUGUGCUGCUUGCAUUCUUCCAUAUUGAGACAGGGAGGUUGAGAAGAUAUGUAACAUGUAAUGAGUUGUUGAGAGCAAUUGGCAUGGGAGACACCAGCGACUGAUGGCGCGGGCUUUGUUCAAGGCUCACUGGAGAAACCAACAUCUCUAGCGUGGCUGGCAUCGAACACUUCAAUGACCAGCAAGUCCAGCACACUGGUGUGGCCGAUGUCCCAGCUAGACUGGGAAAUACGAAAUGUCUGUCCUCUUUUUCUACAGAUUUAGGUUCAUCACGUACUUCACAAAGCCUUUGUCGCCGCUAAGUUGGCAUCGUUGUUUUCUUAGCUAUGCCUACAGAAAAUCCUAUUUCGAUCAAGAAAAUUGUAUUAUCAUGCAUACUUAAUUUAUACAAGACUUAACCUCUGGAAUAGGUAAAUUUGGGAGCUAGACCUUACACCGUAAAGGUCAGUCUAUAUCAGUUUAUGUAACAUUUUAGUAUGAGCCUGCUAUUUGUUGCCAUGUAAUCUCAAGUAUACAAUUUAUCUUUCUGCUCGCUGGUCUUAUAAUUUUUGGAAUACUGAAAUGACGAGGAUCAAAGGGUAUCAUAAUAUUUUUAAUUCAUCCAGUGUUUUUUUUUGGCUACCGAGAGUUGAGUUUUUGAAGAAAAAUACGGCAUUUGUUGAUUCUUUUGCAGGUUGAUUUGGACCCAUUUACCAAAGAUAGAGAGGGGCAGGCUGCUCCGCAUCCCCGUUCAUCAUCGUUUACUUGCUCUCUCUCGUUCUUAUUAAAUAGAGGGGGAUGUGGGUGAUGUGGUCAUCGAUGUGUAGGAGCUGGGCCGGUCGCCGUCGUCUCCCAAGACGCUACUUGCUGCUAAAUCGCUUGCUCGACCUUGCCACCUCAAUCCUUGCUCGAUCUUGCCACCUCAAUCUCCUUCCCGACCACGUGGAGGUCGUGCCAGAAGAUUUUCCCUACGCCCCUGCCUUGCUCAACCAUGUGGAUGUAGCGUGGCCAAUACUUUUUCGGUACCACAUCUGUUAUGUCGGUGCAAAUGAUGGUGUUGUAAUUGAGCUUACCUGCCGGGCAAGGAGAUUAUUUUGGUUAUCUUGCUGGAGAGUGAUGCCCGGGGGGAUUGCUGGUGAGAUUCACUGCUUGGCUGGAUUUAAUGUCCUGCUCGAUUCUUGGGAUUAUGCAUGGAAGAUCUUUAGAUGUCAUUUAUGUUUAGGAGUCAAGCUGUAGCGCCUCGAAGCCGGCGAUGUAGCAGCCUCCAUCUGUGAGCUGCAAGGCGUCGAACUGCUCCAUCUCCAAAGGACCAAGACAUUCCAUGGUAUCCCCUUUACUCUGAAGGCUAAUUCCCAUAUUCAGCUGAUUACUAACACUCAAGUACCAAUUUGGUACAUACAACACUGAUGGUACAUUGUACAAGUGCAGGCUCCCCAAUAUAUAGAUGAAGCUUGGUACCAACUUGGAUGAUCGCAUGGUGUAUCAACCAAUUAGAGAAAUGACCGAUGGAAACUUGUUUUGUCCUGUAGUAGUAUCUGAUUCAAUACGAAGAUAACCAGGUCACCUCUUUUUCUGAAAGACUUUGGACUGGCAACCUGCAACAACGCUCAUAACACCUUUACUUGCUUUUCCCUGUGUUGUAUUACUGUAAACUUUGAAGGUCUGUAGAUAUCAUACUAUUGCUUGAAAUAUCAAUUGAGGGCUUGCUACUAUUGUAUAUUGGUUGUAUAUAAAUGUUUCCUUUUUUGUUUGUAAUUAAGUGUGCUUUAUGUAAACUUUAUUCUAUUGAAUGUUCAUCGAAAUGAGUUUCACGGGAUCGUGCGCCAAGGCGCACAUCUAAA